CCAAUUUCAAAAACCCUUGCGGAGAAUUGCUGAACCGACGCAGCACACAUUUAAACGUUGUAUUACAGUAUGCCUAAAUGAACACAAGUCAACAACUCUUCCAACACUGCCUAUAAAAGUGCAAAAGGAUCCAAGCUGAAAGGGAACAUAUCGCAUAUACAUAGAAGAAGAAGGAGAAGAAGAAGAAGCCCCAGUUCAUGUCCCUAAAUCCUGCCACUAUCGCUCGGAUUUGAGAUCAUAGUAUUCUUGUUGUGCACUCACCGAGGCUGGAGACUUCUGCAGCUCCGAGCAGACAAAGCACCGUGAGGCAGGCACUCCCGCGACCAACAACCAAUCACAUGAAUCUCCCGCCCCGGACACACAAGCACGCG